CAGGGGAUAAAGUGAUCCAUGUGUGGUUUAUGCCAUGUACAGCACGAAUAAGGACCGUCUAACUCCGUGCCAGCAGCCGCGGUAAUAUGGAAGGUCCGGCCGUUAUCUGGAUUUAUUGGUUUUAAAGGAAGCGUAGCCGGUCUCGUAAGCCUAUUGUGAAAUGUCGGGUCUCAGCAUGGGCACUGCAGCUCGAACUGUCAGACUGGAGUGCGCGCAACGUAGUAGUAAUUCGUAUCGUCACGCAUCAAUGCUUAGAUAUGAAGACGAAUUAGAAUCGUUAAGUCAACGUCAUGUAGCGCAAGUGACGCUGAAGCUAGAAAGUUUGCGUAUGAAACACGAUUAGAUACCGUGGUAGUCCACGCGGUAACGGAUGAAUCCUCUCUGAAGGAAUCUGACGUAUAGCGUUCAAGCGAAAGCGUUAAGCAUCCCACCUGGGGAGAGCGCCGGCAAUGGCGCAACUCAAAUGAAUUGACGCAAUA
rnacentral:rRNA from 1 species